rnacentral:miRNA from 1 species
CGGAGCGUUUCUCUGACUGAU